rfam:Schistosoma curassoni strain Dakar, Senegal genome assembly, scaffold: SCTD_scaffold0004763
AUCCGGCUGACGAAUCUCAAAUAGGACGGAACGAGCGCCCUGGAU